rnacentral:lncRNA from 1 species
GAAAGUCAUCCUGCUGACUGCAGGAUGUGGGAUCUCUCCGCCAUUGAGGAAGUGAAAGCAGCUAAACCAGUGAGUGUGACUAUGUUCCAAUAAAACUUUACUUAUAAAAACAGGCUACAGGCCAGAUUUGGCCUAUGGGCUUAUUUUACUGACUCUGAUCUAGAACAUAGUAGGUAUGCAAAAAAUAUUAGCUGAAUAAAUGAAAAAAAUUGAUUUUUUAAAAAUUCUAAUAUUCCCACUAUAUUCUGUUCUCUUUUUCAGUGUGUGUGGUAUCUAGAUGAUACCCAUGUGACAACUGGAGACUGUGCAUGACGGAUGACUUAGGUAACUUCUGGAGGGCACCUACAUUGUGACCAUAAACCACUGUGCCCAUGUGGAAAUCAUUGCAGUCCUGGGGCAAAAGAUAAACUUCAUGCUUGAUACAAAACAACCAAAAGAAGACAAUGAAGAAAACAUUUCCUUCUCUCCUUGGUGCUUGCCUGCCUUCUUCACCAAUAUACCAGAGUUACGGCACGCACUGCUCUGUCCUUCACAAGGCAAUUAAAUAUGACGGCAUCGGCAGUCCUUGCACAAACUGUGGAACGCUUGCUCUGUUGUGUUGCAGAGUAAACAUCACCAUGGUGGUACCAUCAAUAAUUACCCAUGUUUUUGGUAGAGGAAAGGAAUUAUUUCCUGUUUCUGAAGAGAACGGAGCAUCAGUGAGUAUCAUCCUUUGAAAUUCUUAGCCUCUGUUCAGCUCAUGCAGGGCCUUGUUCUCACAGCUUUGUUUCCUGUCAUUUUGAAAACAUUGCUUAGUUAUUCAUUCUUCUGUGCUUCUCAGUUUCUUCCAAAGUGUUAGCAAAGUAUCAAUAUUUUAUUUUCUCUGAAGUGCUUGUUUUUGUGAUCAGAUUUGUAAUUCUUCUGCAGUUGGCUUUGCACAUACUUGGCAUUGUUGUAGUCAUUGCUACCACUGAUGGAUGCUGUAGGAACCAAGGGUAUAUGGUGAAAGGGAAGAUAAAGGAGAAUAUGGGAUAAAAGCCCUUGCCCAAUGUGCUUCAUUACUCAGGUUUCAUGAGGAUGUUAGAACUCGAUUCAUAUACAGUCAACCAGUCAUCAGUAUUUACUAAGUGCCUGUUGUUUUGAAGGAAUAAAAAGAAUAUCAGAUACUAACUCUAGCCUUGA